GACGAACGCUGGCGGCGUGCCUAAUACAUGCAAGUAGAACGCUGAAGGAGGAGCUUGCUUCUCUGGAUGAGUUGCGAACGGGUGAGUAACGCGUAGGUAACCUGCCUGGUAGCGGGGGAUAACUAUUGGAAACGAUAGCUAAUACCGCAUAAGAGUAGAUGUUGCAUGACAUUUGCUUAAAAGGUGCAAUUGCAUCACUACCAGAUGGACCUGCGUUGUAUUAGCUAGUUGGUGAGGUAACGGCUCACCAAGGCGACGAUACAUAGCCGACCUGAGAGGGUGAUCGGCCACACUGGGACUGAGACACGGCCCAGACUCCUACGGGAGGCAGCAGUAGGGAAUCUUCGGCAAUGGACGGAAGUCUGACCGAGCAACGCCGCGUGAGUGAAGAAGGUUUUCGGAUCGUAAAGCUCUGUUGUAAGAGAAGAACGAGUGUGAGAGUGGAAAGCUCACACUGUGACGGUAUCUUACCAGAAAGGGACGGCUAACUACGUG
rnacentral:rRNA from 1 species